CAGUAGCCGCGGUAAUACGUAGGGUGCGAGCGUUAAUCGGAAUUACUGGGCGUAAAGCGUGCGCAGGCGGUUAUAUAAGACAGAUGUGAAAUCCCCGGGCUCAACCUGGGACCUGCAUUCGUGACUGUAUAGCUAGAGUACGGUAGAGGGGGAUGGAAUUCCGCGUGUAGCAGUGAAAUGCGUAGAUAUGCGGAGGAACACCGAUGGCGAAGGCAAUCCCUGGACCUGUACUGACGCUCAUGCACGAAGCGUGGGGAGCAAACAGGAUUAGAUACCCCCGUAGUCCCUGUCUCUUAUACAA
rnacentral:rRNA from 1 species